CUCACCUUGUUCAACACAACUGGAGCCAGACUUUUCAGAACAGAUUGGUAUUCUUCAGUUCUCCAAGUUAAGGGCUGUUUAUUUUGAAAGGAAUGAAUGGCCAAUUAGGCUGUGAAGGCGUGCUGCAGCCUGCCAUUUCUCUUGGCAAUAACUUGGAAGAAAGAAGAGAAGCUUUUUGGAAAAAAAUCUCUGCUAAGGGCUACUUUCCACUGGGAUCCAGUCCACAGCAUAUUCACAGAAGCACUUGUCUUGCUGCAGCAGAGCGUGGUGGAGGUGGGAGGAAGAAGGUCUGCCUGGGAGCUGGCAACCCCACACCUCAAAUCACCACUGGGAAAACAGUCCAUGGGAAUGCAUCCUCCUCCCGCUUCAAGUCUUACCUGUAUUUGGCAGUGGGAUUUAAGGUGAAGCAAAUAUUGCUUCAUUUAAAAGAAAAGUCUUCAUCCCCAAACGACACAGAUUUGAAUCUAAGUUGA
rnacentral:lncRNA from 1 species